rnacentral:rRNA from 1 species
UGGGGAAUCUUGCACAAUGGGGAAACCCUGAUGCAGCGACGCCGCGUGAGCGAUGACGCCUUCGGGGUGUAAAGCUCUUUCGGCAGGGACGAUAAUGACGGUACCUGAAGAAGAAGCUGCGGCUAACUACGUGCCAGCAGCCGCGGUAAUACGUAGGCAGCGAGCGUUGUUCGGAGUUACUGGGCGUAAAGAGUGCGUAGGCGGUUUUCUAAGUUUGGUGUGAAAUCUCCCGGCUUAACUGGGAGGGUGCGUCGAAGACUGGAAGGCUUGAGUAUGGGAGAGGUAAGCGGAAUUCCUGGUGUAGCGGUGAAAUGCGUAGAUAUCAGGAGGAACCUGCGGUGUAGACGGCUUACUGGACCAUAACUGACGCUGAGGCACGAAAGCGUGGGUAGCAAACAGGAUUAGAUACCCUGGUAGUCCACGCCCUAAACGGAUGCAUACUUGGUGUGGGUAGUUCAUUCUAUCCGUGCCGGAGCUAACGCGUUAAGUAUGCCGCCUGGGGAGUACGGUCGCAAGGCUGC